UGGGGAAUAUUGCACAAUGGGCGCAAGCCUGAUGCAGCCAUGCCGCGUGUGUGAAGAAGGCCUUCGGGUUGUAAAGCACUUUCAGCGGGGAGGAAGGCGAUAAGGUUAAUAACCUUGUCGAUUGACGUUACCCGCGGAAGAAGCACCGGCUAACUCCGUGCCAGCAGCCGCGGUAAUACGGAGGGUGCAAGCGUUAAUCGGAAUUACUGGGCGUAAAGCGCACGCAGGCGGUCUGUCAAGUCGGAUGUGAAAUCCCCGGGCUCAACCUGGGAACUGCAUUCGAAACUGGCAGGCUAGAGUCUUGUAGAGGGGGGUAGAAUUCCAGGUGUAGCGGUGAAAUGCGUAGAGAUCUGGAGGAAUACCGGUGGCGAAGGCGGCCCCCUGGACAAAGACUGACGCUCAGGUGCGAAAGCGUGGGGAGCAAACAGG
rnacentral:rRNA from 1 species